GAUGAACGCUGGCGGCGUGCCUAAUACAUGCAAGUCGAGCGAACAGACGAUGAUCUUUCUCCUCUUACUUUUGCGUCGGACGGGUGAUUAACACGUGUAUAACCUCCCUCUUUUUCUUGGAUAACUUCGUGAAACCUUUUCUAAUACCGUAUAAUUUAUUGAACCUCUUGGUUCUAUCGUUAAUUACGGUUUUUCUGUCUCUUUUAUAUUGUUCCGCGCCGCAUUAGCUAGUUGGUAAGGUAACGGCUUACCAAGGCAACGAUGCUUAGCCGACCUGAGAGGGGGAUCGGACACACUGGAACUGAGACACGGACCAGACGCCUACGGGAGGAAGCAGAAGGGAAUAUUCCGCAAUGGGCGAAAGCAUGACGGAGCAACGCCGAGUGAGUGAUGAAGGUCUAAGGAUCGUAAAACUCUGUUAUUAGGGAAGAACAAAUGUGAAAGUAAAUAUGCACGUCUUGACGGUACCUAAUAAGAAAGCAACGGCUAACUACGUG
rnacentral:rRNA from 1 species